AGAUUAAGUUAUUAAGGGCGCACGGUGGAUGCCUUGGCACUAGAAGCCGAUGAAGGACGUUACUAACGACGAUAUGCUUUGGGGAGCUGUAAGUAAGCUUUGAUCCAGAGAUUUCCGAAUGGGGAAACCCAGCAUGAGUUAUGUCAUGUUAUCGAUAUGUGAAUACAUAGCAUAUCAGAAGGCACACCCGGAGAACUGAAACAUCUUAGUACCCGGAGGAAGAGAAAGAAAAUUCGAUUCCCUUAGUAGCGGCGAGCGAAACGGGAAGAGCCCAAACCAACAAGCUUGCUUGUUGGGGUUGUAGGACACUCUAUACGGAGUUACAAAGGACGACAUUAGACGAAUCAUCUGGAAAGAUGAAUCAAAGAAGGUAAUAAUCCUGUAGUCGAAAAUGUUGUCUCUCUUGAGUGGAUCCUGAGUACGACGGAGCACGUGAAAUUCCGUCGGAAUCUGGGAGGACCAUCUCCUAAGGCUAAAUACUCUCUAGUGACCGAUAGUGAACCAGUACCGUGAGGGAAAGGUGAAAAGCACCCCGGAAGGGGAGUGAAAUAGAACCUGAAACCGUGUGCUUACAAGUAGUCAGAGCCCGUUAAUGGGUGAUGGCGUGCCUUUUGUAGAAUGAACCGGCGAGUUACGAUUUGAUGCAAGGUUAAGCAGUAAAUGUGGAGCCGUAGCGAAAGCGAGUCUGAAUAGGGCGUUUAGUAUUUGGUCGUAGACCCGAAACCAGGUGAUCUACCCUUGGUCAGGUUGAAGUUCAGGUAACACUGAAUGGAGGACCGAACCGACUUACGUUGAAAAGUGAGCGGAUGAACUGAGGGUAGCGGAGAAAUUCCAAUCGAACCUGGAGAUAGCUGGUUCUCUCCGAAAUAGCUUUAGGGCUAGCCUCAAGUGAUGAUUAUUGGAGGUAGAGCACUGUUUGGACGAGGGGCCCCUCUCGGGUUACCGAAUUCAGACAAACUCCGAAUGCCAAUUAAUUUAACUUGGGAGUCAGAACAUGGGUGAUAAGGUCCGUGUUCGAAAGGGAAACAGCCCAGACCACCAGCUAAGGUCCCAAAAUAUAUGUUAAGUGGAAAAGGAUGUGGCGUUGCCCAGACAACUAGGAUGUUGGCUUAGAAGCAGCCAUCAUUUAAAGAGUGCGUAAUAGCUCACUAGUCGAGUGACACUGCGCCGAAAAUGUACCGGGGCUAAACAUAUUACCGAAGCUGUGGAUUGUCCUUUGGACAAUGGUAGGAGAGCGUUCUAAGGGCGUUGAAGCAUGAUCGUAAGGACAUGUGGAGCGCUUAGAAGUGAGAAUGCCGGUGUGAGUAGCGAAAGACGGGUGAGAAUCCCGUCCACCGAUUGACUAAGGUUUCCAGAGGAAGGCUCGUCCGCUCUGGGUUAGUCGGGUCCUAAGCUGAGGCCGACAGGCGUAGGCGAUGGAUAACAGGUUGAUAUUCCUGUACCACCUAUAAUCGUUUUAAUCGAUGGGGGGACGCAGUAGGAUAGGCGAAGCGUGCGAUUGGAUUGCACGUCUAAGCAGUAAGGCUGAGUAUUAGGCAAAUCCGGUACUCGUUAAGGCUGAGCUGUGAUGGGGAGAAGACAUUGUGUCUUCGAGUCGUUGAUUUCACACUGCCGAGAAAAUCCUCUAGAUAGAAAAUAGGUGCCCGUACCGCAAACCGACACAGGUAGUCAAGAUGAGAAUUCUAAGGUGAGCGAGCGAACUCUCGUUAAGGAACUCGGCAAAAUGACCCCGUAACUUCGGGAGAAGGGGUGCUCUUUAGGGUUAACGCCCAGAAGAGCCGCAGUGAAUAGGCCCAAGCGACUGUUUAUCAAAAACACAGGUCUCUGCUAAACCGUAAGGUGAUGUAUAGGGGCUGACGCCUGCCCGGUGCUGGAAGGUUAAGAGGAGUGGUUAGCUUCUGCGAAGCUACGAAUCGAAGCCCCAGUAAACGGCGGCCGUAACUAUAACGGUCCUAAGGUAGCGAAAUUCCUUGUCGGGUAAGUUCCGACCCGCACGAAAGGCGUAACGAUUUGGGCACUGUCUCAACGAGAGACUCGGUGAAAUCAUAGUACCUGUGAAGAUGCAGGUUACCCGCGACAGGACGGAAAGACCCCGUGGAGCUUUACUGUAGCCUGAUAUUGAAAUUCGGCACAGCUUGUACAGGAUAGGUAGGAGCCUUUGAAACGUGAGCGCUAGCUUACGUGGAGGCGCUGGUGGGAUACUACCCUAGCUGUGUUGGCUUUCUAACCCGCACCACUUAUCGUGGUGGGAGACAGUGUCAGGCGGGCAGUUUGACUGGGGCGGUCGCCUCCUAAAAGGUAACGGAGGCGCUCAAAGGUUCCCUCAGAAUGGUUGGAAAUCAUUCAUAGAGUGUAAAGGCAUAAGGGAGCUUGACUGCGAGACCUACAAGUCGAGCAGGGUCGAAAGACGGACUUAGUGAUCCGGUGGUUCCGCAUGGAAGGGCCAUCGCUCAACGGAUAAAAGCUACCCCGGGGAUAACAGGCUUAUCUCCCCCAAGAGUUCACAUCGACGGGGAGGUUUGGCACCUCGAUGUCGGCUCAUCGCAUCCUGGGGCUGUAGUCGGUCCCAAGGGUUGGGCUGUUCGCCCAUUAAAGCGGUACGCGAGCUGGGUUCAGAACGUCGUGAGACAGUUCGGUCCCUAUCCGUCGUGGGCGUAGGAAAUUUGAGAGGAGCUGUCCUUAGUACGAGAGGACCGGGAUGGACAUACCUCUGGUGUACCAGUUGUCGUGCCAACGGCAUAGCUGGGUAGCUAUGUGUGGACGGGAUAAGUGCUGAAAGCAUCUAAGCAUGAAGCCCCCCUCAAGAUGAGAUUUCCCAACUUCGGUUAUAAGAUCCCUCAAAGAUGAUGAGGUUAAUAGGUUCGAGGUGGAAGCAUGGUGACAUGUGGAGCUGACGAAUACUAAUCGAUCGAAGACUUAAUCAAAUU
rnacentral:rRNA from 1 species